UGGUGGAAGCAAGGAGAUUUGAACUCACAGCCCAGCGAGUUUCGCAUGAAAGUGCAUCUGUUCGGUGCAGCUUCCUCUCCGGGGUGUGCAAACUAUGGGAUGAAACAUCUAGCUAAGGAGAAUCGCGACAUCUACACUCAAGGCUCGAGAUUUGUUAUGAGGGACUUUUAUGUAGAUGAUGGGCUCGCGAGUGUUGAAAACACUGGAGAUGCUAUUCAGCUUGCCAGGGAAGCUCGUGAACUUUGUGCCAUGGGUGGUCUCCGACUACAUAAGUUUGUGUCUAAUGACAGAAAGGUAUUAGAGAGUAUACCACCCUCCGAAAGAGCAACCAACGUGAAGGAUAUGGAUCUCGCAUUUGAUGAUUUGCCACUUGAGAGGGCUCUCGGGAUUCAAUGGGAUGUGGAGUGUGUCCGCUUCAGGCUUAACGUCAGCCUCAAGGAACAGCCAGCGACACGACGUGGCAUUUUAUCUACAGUGGCUUCUCUGUACGAUCCUCUUGGGUUUGUGGCGCCAGUCGUCCUCAAAGCGAAGAUCAUUCUCCAGGAGAUGUGCAGACGGGGCACUGGCUGGGACGAUCCUCUCACUGACGAGCUUCGCCCAAAAUGGGAACAAUGGAGAAGUGAUCUAGCCCACUUAGAUAAUUUCACCAUAUCCCGUACCUACUCACCUGCUGGAUUUGGAAGGGUCUCAAAGACAGAGCUGCAUCAUUUCUCUGAUGCCAGUAUGAAGGGUUACGGCCAGUGUUCAUACCUGCGACUCCAAAACGAAGAGGGUGAUAUUCAUUGUGCCUUAGUUGUAGGAAAAUCACGUGUCUCUCCAACCAAGGUAACAACCAUCCCAAGAUUAGAAUUGACAGCAGCAGUUGUUUCCGUGAAGAUAAGCAACAUGCUUAAGGAGGAAUUGGGAUGUAUUAAUGCCGAGGAGUUCUUCCGGACAGACUCUAAAGUGGUCUUAGGUUAUAUAAGAAACGAAGCACGACGAUUUCACAUGUUUGUGGCUAACUGGGUUCAGAAGAUUCAGCUCAAUUCAGCCCCGCAACAGUGGCGAUGUCCCGACAAGUGAGAAUCCUGCUGACCAUGCUUCUCGAGGCUUAACUGCCAGUGAGCUUUUGUCGUCUACCUGGCUCACUGGACCCAAGUUCCUAUGGAACAAGGAAAUAAAGCUGGCUACAGAUGAAAUAUCAGAGUUAACCAUCGGAGAUCCAGAGGUCAGGAGUGCUCUAGCGCUCAGUACCAAAACCACUGAAUGCGUGAGCCUCAUUGAUCGCUUGUCUAAGUUCUCAUCUUGGUCACUAGCUACGCGAGCAGUUGCACGCAUUCUCAGGCGCAUAAGCAAGACCAGAUCAAACAGUCUCACCUCUGUAACAGAACGAGAAGAGGCAGAACAUUGUUUAAUUAAAGAUCUGCAGAAAAAUGUGUAUCAUGAAGAGUUGAAACUGCUGAGCAAAGGGAUCCCUCUACCACAUCACAAUCCGUUACAUGCUCUUGACGCUUUUCUCCACGACGACGGUG
ensembl:lncRNA